GCCCGGCUUGGUCAAGCGGUCUUGAGCGUUCGAGAUUUGAGAUUGGUUGAUCUACACUUACAACCCAACUUCCUUCCGAUCCACACCAUACCACAGUCUGUUUCCCUCAUAAUCUCAAAUUCCCAGUUCGAUUCUGGGGCGGGGCU